AGGACGAACGCUUGCGACGUGCCUAAGAAAUGCAAGUCGAGCGAGGUAGCAAUACCUAGCGGCGAACGGUCGCGUAACACGUAAGCAGCCUGCCCCAAAGACCGGGACAACGUUCCGAAAGGAGCGCUAAUACCGGAUGUGCCCAUUUGGUGACAUCGCCGGAUGAGUAAAUCGCGCAAUCGGCUUUGGGAGGGGCUUGCGGCCUAUCAGCUAGAUGGUGGGGUAAUGGCCUACCAUGGCGACGACGGGUAGCUGGUCUGAGAGGAUGGUCAGCCGGAUUGGGACUGAGAUACGGCCCAGACUCCUACGGGGGCAGCAAUUAGGAAUCUUGCGCAAUGGGCGAAAGCCUGACGCAGCGACGUCGCGGUGGGGGAGGAAGGCGUUUCGGGUUGUAAACCCCUUUUAGUCGAGGAAGAAACAAUGACGGUACUCGAUGAAUAACGCCCGGCUAACUCCGCGCCAGCAGCCGC
rnacentral:rRNA from 1 species